rnacentral:misc_RNA from 1 species
GAAAUGCGAUACGUAGUGUGAAUUGCAGAAUUCCGUGAAUCAUCGAAUCUUUGAACGCAUAUUGCGCUCGAGGCUUCGGCCAAGAGCAUGUCUGCCUCAGCGUCGGUUUAUCCCCUCGCCCCCUCUCCCCUGGGAGUUGUGGCGGAUCUGGCUGUCCCAGUUAAGCGCAAGCUCUGGGUCAGUUGAAGAGUAGAGGUUGUGCAGUGACCCGCUAUGGGCAUCAGCUGGGUAGGUAGCUUGGCACCUAGUGUCAUACUACACAAAAGCUGUUGCUUGGGUUCUGCUCAAUCAGCAGGAAGCAUGCUUGCAUGCAUCUAAACAUUCGACCUGAGCUCAGGCAAGAUUACCCGCUGAACUUAA